rnacentral:lncRNA from 1 species
AGAAGCUGAAGACCCAGGCAACAAGUUCUCUGCUCUGUACCUUUAGCCAAUAGGAUGAGUCUCCAAGACCUAUUCAGAAAAUAAUGCAUUCUGGUCUUUUAUGACCUGAAUGUGUUUUCAUCCUGUAGAACAGGAACGUGGAGGAAGCUGAACCAGUGAACUCUGAGAGCAGCACAGAGCAGUGGUUGCACCAUGAGGCCUGACACCAGGAGUCCCACCCUGACAUCCUGGACCAUUCCGGACAGACAGAGUGGGGUCCAGCUGCUCCUGUCUGAGAGGGCAGCAGAACCAGGAUAGAGGCAAGACUGGGAACCCUGUUGCUCUUUGUACUGAGAGAGUGGGUUCCCUACUAGAAAGGGGUGGGAAAUACAAGUUGGAGGAAUGAAGAAUAGGAGUCCCUUUGCCACCCCCAUCACAGGCCCCUUCCAAGGACAAUUAGGCUUUAAGUUUGGAGAGCUGCUUCCACAUACAGCAUUUCAGCUCUUUCUCCUGACCCCGGGGGAGGUGGGCAUUAUUGCUGUCCUCCAUCCCAUGGUAGAAUAGUUAGAUUGUGAAAUCUGGAGGCAGAACGGGGGCUCAAAUCCCAAUGUGUCAGUUCUGAUUGAGUGAAUGUGAGAAACUCAUUAACCUAAAUCUCAGUCACCUCAUCUAUAAAGCAGGAUAACAGAAACAAA